rnacentral:rRNA from 1 species
GACGAACGCUGGCGGCGUGCUUAACACAUGCAAGUCGAACGGAAAGGCCCUGCUUUUGUGGGGUGCUCGAGUGGCGAACGGGUGAGUAACACGUGAGUAACCUGCCCUUGACUUUGGGAUAACUUCAGGAAACUGGGGCUAAUACCGGAUAGGAGCUCCUGCUGCAUGGUGGGGGUUGGAAAGUUUCGGCGGUUGGGGAUGGACUCGCGGCUUAUCAGCUUGUUGGUGGGGUAGUGGCUUACCAAGGCUUUGACGGGUAGCCGGCCUGAGAGGGUGACCGGCCACAUUGGGACUGAGGUACGGCCCAGAAUCCUACGGGAGGCAGCAGUGGGGAAUAUUGCACAAUGGGCGGAAGCCAGAGGCAGCAGCGCCGGGUGCGGGAUGACGGCCUUCGGGUGAUAAACCGCUUUCGCCUGAGACGAGGCGAGAGUGACGGUAAUGGGUAAGAAAGCAACGGCUAACUACGUG